rnacentral:lncRNA from 1 species
GAGCAUCAGCUGCCCAGCCUUAGCACUUUGAGAAACUGGGAAGUGCAGACAGCUUAAACUGGCGGAGUCCGAUCAGAUGAGGCAAGAGAGGGUGCAGCCUCAGGGACGGUGGGCAUUGAACUUCCAGUGGUUGGAAUACCUCCACUCCCAGUCUUGAUGGCUCCCUAGCAUUCCCAACCCUGGGGCUUACCGUGGCUAUAGAGGAAGAUUGCAAGCUAGCAUUUUCCAAGCGUUUUCUGCACACUGCCCCUGUGAGGACAUACUCCUCAGACUGAAUUCUGCAGAUUCACAAUGUGCGAUGCCUACACAGCCUGGAGAAAUGGCAGAAAGAGAAGUUUUAUCUUUCUGAAUGGAGAAGACAAGAGAAGGUUUAAGAACAUGGCAGCAAUUACAGUAGGGUCAUUCAAUUGAACAUGACAACCCUGGAAAGCAUUUUUCGACAAACGUGUAUUGAGCACCCAUCUGCCAAGCUCUCUUCAAGGUGUCAGCAGUUCGAGGUUCUCCAUGCUUGGUCCCUGCCCUGAAGGAGCACAACUCAGUGAAACCUCUCACAUUAGCCACGAGGAAUUAAAACUCAUCAAGGCCAAUCUCAUUUUACAGAAGAACAUGAGGAAUGGAGCAUAUAGGUAUUUUUUUUUUAAGAUUUAUUUAUUUAUUCAUUUAUUUGGUGAAGAAGAAUGGCCCUGAGCUAACAUCCAUGGCCAAUCUUCCCCCUUUUGCAUGAGGAAGAUUGUCGCUGAGCUAACAUCUGGGCCAAUCUCCCUUCACCUUGCCUGUGGGACGCUGCCACAUCAUGGCAUGAUGAGCAGUGUGUAGGUCCCCAUGCCCGGGAUCUGAACCCGUGAACCCAGGGCUGCCAAAGCAGAGUGCGCACAAACUUAACCACUAUGCCACUGGCAGGCCCCAGGAAUUUCUUAUUUAAGCUCUGAGAUUUUGAGAAAAAGUUUGCUAAAUGCAAAGUUCACUUCACUUCCCAAUGACAUUU